rnacentral:rRNA from 1 species
CCUACGGGAGGCUGCAGUGGGGAAUAUUGGGCAAUGGGCGAAAGCCUGAUCCAGCCAUGCCGCGUGUGUGAAGAAGGCCUUCGGGUUGUAAAGCACUUUCAGUGGGGAAGAAAGCCUUGGGGCUAAUACCCUCGAGGAAGGACAUCACCCACAGAAGAAGCACCGGCUAACUCCGUGCCAGCAGCCGCGGUAAUACGGAGGGUGCGAGCGUUAAUCGGAAUUACUGGGCGUAAAGCGCGCGUAGGCGGUCUGAUAAGCCGGUUGUGAAAGCCCCGGGCUCAACCCGGGAACGGCAUCCGGAACUGUCAGGCUAGAGUGCAGGAGAGGAAGGUAGAAUUCGCGGUGUAGCGGUGAAAUGCGUAGAGAUCGGGAGGAAUACCAGUGGCGAAGGCGGCCUUCUGGACUGACACUGACGCUGAGGUGCGAAAGCGUGGGUAGCAAACAGGAUUAGAUACCCCAGUAGUC